rnacentral:rRNA from 1 species
CCUACGGGGGGCAGCAGUGAGGAAUAUUGGUCAAUGGCCGGAAGCCUGAACCAGCCACGCCGCGUGAAUGACGAAGGUGCCAAGCAUUGUAAACUUCUCUUGUCAAGGCACAAAAUCAGGCUCGAGAGCCUGACCGAGGGUACUUGAACAAAAAGCAUCGGCUAACUCCGUGCCAGCAGCCGCGGUAAUACGGAGGAUGCGAGCGUUAUCCGGAUUUAUUGGGUUUAACGGUUGCGUAGGCGGGCUGUUAAGUCAGCGGUAAAAGCCCGGGGCUCAACCCCGGCGAGCCGUUGAAACUGGCUGUCUAGAGAGGUGGAGAGGUAUGCGGAAUGCGCAGUGUAGCGGUGAAAUGCGUAGAUAUUGCGCAGAACUACGGGUGCGAAGGCGGCAUACCGGCGGCGAUCUGACGCUGAGGCACGAAAGCGUGGGUAUCGAACAGGAUUAGAUACCCGGGUAGUC